GAGCUUUUCAGGGCAAGACCAGUUCUUAUUUCUCUUACAAAAUAUGUAGAAAGUGGCACGAAGUGCAACCUCCAUACAUUUUGUUAUGAUACGAUCGUCUUGCAAAUGUAACAACCUACAUAGCCUACGAAAUUGGCCUAUGCUCUUCGUGACGAAGCCUAGAGUAGUGACUUCCAAAGUUAUAACUUUAAAUCUAUCACACGGUACGAGUAACUGUGAUCGCAAUACCCGAUAUUUUUC